CUUCUCUUUGGUUCCAAAAUAACCUAUCAAAUUCAAAUUAUUCUCUUUUCUCUUUUCCCCAUUCAUGUUCUCUCUCUUAUCCUUCUUCUUUCUUCUCUCUCCUCUUGUCUCAAUUCACCCUUUCUCUUUGUCUUUUUCUUUCUUCUCUCUUUGUGCAGAAAACAUACAAUAGCUCCAUUUAACUAUCUAUUCUCUUAGCUAAAAUCUAUAAAUGUUUGAUUUCGAUGAUAUUUUCAUGUAUACGGUAAUGUUUCGAGGCUGAUUAGGUGGUUGUGAAGUGUUCCAGAGAGUUGGACAUUGUUUCCACACUCACUAUCAACCAUUAUCAGUCCUAAAAGCUCCACCGCCGGAGAUCCGGGUGAUUCUUCAACCUUCACUUCGAUCUGUACUUGAUCUGGUUUUCUAUUGUUGUUAACUUUCUUCAUUGUUGAUUUAUCAUGUUAGAAACCAUCAAUACCUCUCUUUAACCCAUUCAUCUACCAUGUCAGAAACCAAAAUGUUUGCGUUUCAGGAUGAGAUCAACUAGCUUUUCAAUCUUAUCAUAAACACGUUAUACUCUAACAAGGAGAUCUUUCUAAGGGAACUCUUCAGUAACACCUCUCAUGUAAGCUUCUGAUUUACUCGCAUUUUUAGGAGUUUUUGAUGUCGUUUACGUACUUUUUAUGCUUGAUCUAUGAUUUAUACAUGUUAUACAUUCAAGCGAUGAGUUUUGGUGUUUUGUUUGCAACACUGAUGUGCAGGCACAUGGUUUGACUCUACUUAAAUUUUUCUAUUCAUAUACUGAGUAGUGACUUAGAAUAACACAUUGAAGGUUGAAUGUAGGUGAUUAGUCUGGUUGGCACUCAAAAGGUUUCCCUUCAUCCUAACGAUAUGUUGCUGCUGGCCAAUUUUGUGAUGUCAUCAAAAUCUUUGAGGCUAAUAGAAUUAAUUUGUUUGAUAUAGUACUCACAUUGACAUACGAUAUAACUUACUACUCAUUUCUUAAAGGUUUCGGUAACUGUUUAUUAUUUGUGGCAAGCCGACACAUACUUGAUGUUGCUAACCACUAAUUUAGAUGCAUUUUAUCAUCUUAAAGACUACCGGUAAUUUAGAUGCAUUUGAUCAGUUAUUUCUGCUUGGGCAAUUUGACCUCUUGUAGUUGUUUUUAGCAGGUUCGGAGGUUGUGGUAGUAUACUUCGGAAAUGCCAACAUCACCUGAUUUCUCAAGUGAUCAUCAAGUCAAAUCAUGUCGACUCUACUCGCCGUGGUAGUCAGAUUAUGCAGGUAGCAAAUUCUGAUGUAGGCAAAUGAUUAUUGGUGUAUCGUAGCUUUGUUGCAGGGGUAACUGAAUCAACUGCACCAGAAAGUAUGUUGGAGUGACUAUGUUGGAAAUUGGUAUGUUAGUGACUUGGUGUCUAUUUGAGAAUAAAUCGGUCAGAAUCAACUGCACCAAAUUUGGUUGUUGGGAAAAAACGCAUUAGGCUUUAUCCAACAUCUUUAUCUGAGGAACAUUUCCCCUACUCAGAAACCAUGCUUAGCAAUACCAGCCAGAUGACAUAGAUGAAAUUAAGUUUCCUAAGGUGCAAGACUUGCAAUUUGUAGACUGCAUUUUAGAGGAAUGUGAAAAGUUAUACAUCUCGACAAAGCGGUGGCACUAUGUGCGGUCUUUAACUACCAAUUUUUCAGUUGGCUUUUGGUGAGUCAGAGCUUCUCAUUCUUGGUGGGCUUCUCAUUCCUAAAUGCAUAUUCAUUUCUAUUUCAUAUACAUUGAGUAAAAAACUUUGAUUAAUUGAUUCAAUCCUAUUACCAAUUGGAUUUCAAACUUAUAAUCAUAUGAACUAACACAGUUUGAUAUUUUACAACAUCAUGCUAUUUACAAAUCAAUUUGUAAGUUAUAAAAGCGAUGAAACAUUGAAAUUGAUCAUAUUGCAUAGCACCAGAACACAAUGUUAACUUUACAAGAUUGCAUUACCAAUUAAAUUUCUAACUUAUAUUCAUAUGAACCAUAAUAUUUUUAUACAUCAUACCAGAAUCUAUUCCUGUAAAUAAUUAAUUACAUAACAGUAGCUAGAGAUUGGAAAAAGUUUCAGUUUUGAUGUUUUUUUGUUGUUUCUCCAGGUUACUCAUUUAUUAAAUGUUCUUGGCUUUGAUGGGUUUUGUUUCCUCUUAGGGGAAAGAAGUUGAUUAAUCUAUCAUUUGAACAUUUAAAUACAAAUUUUCAUUCUUUUUUGUUUUAAUUCUUUUACCGAUAUGUUGUAUUUCAUUGGAAACAAACUUAAUUAUUUACAAGUAACUGAACAACUGUCUAUACUUCAAGGAAGAGAAUUAAGAUAAUAUCAAACAGAUGGGCUGCAAUGGAUGAUUUCUUUGUUAAAUAUCAACUUAAUGGGAUUUUGGCUGAUGAAAUGGGGCUUGGGAAAACAAUACAAAUUGUUUCUCAUAGCACAUCUUUUGGAAUACAAAGGUGUGAUUGGUCCCCACUUGAUUGUUGCUCAAGGAAGUUCUACCAAACUGGAUCAUUGAAUUCUCAACAUGGGGUCCUAGGGCUUGUGAAAACAUCCCAAUUAUUCUAUGUGGAAAUAAGGUUGAUGUGAAGAACAGGCAAGGGAAGAUGGAGACAGUGUCAGAAUUGGUGAAGGAGAGUAUGGUCCUGUUUUCAUAUGGCGCGUUACAACAAAGGUGACUACUAAUAUCUUCAUGAAUCGCAUCUCCAAACUUAGGAAGGUUACAAUAAUCGAUGGCGCUUUUAAUCAUACUUUCAUUGGCGAGUUUGCUCGUGCGGGUGAUUGUUGUGAUUUUAACCAUGUUCGUUGAAUUCGUACUCAUUAGCUCUCUUGAUUCGAUUUUCAUCAUGUCUUAUAACUUGACGUGGUGGUAAUAGGAAAUUGUGUUCCUCACCGUUGUCUUCUUCUAAUUCUCCCUACCUUAUCUUCACCGCUUCGUUUGGAUAAACCAUUAGUUCAAUUGUUUUGGCUGUUGGGAAUGAGAAUUUAAGUAAGUUUUUCUUAGCAAUCUGUUUCAUUCCAGUCUUCUUCCAAUUAGUUUUGUUAGAUUAUUUUCCUUUCAUGUAAUUCCUUUAUCUCCCCAAAGUGCUUAUUUGUGAUUUUUCUAUUAUAUCUUUUGUUCACAACACGGGAAUAUAUUUCCUGAUUCUUAAACUAGCUCUAGAAUUGUUUAACAAGUUAUUAUUCAUGUAGUAUACCUAUAAAUCGCAGAUGGUGGGAUGGAAAGGCGCUGCUUCCAAUUUGCUGGUGGUGGGAAGGGUAAUCUUGAGUAUACUGACAUGGUUGAUGCUUCUGUUGUCGUUGGAUCUAACGAAAAGAUUGCCUGGUAAGAAUAAGAGUAUCAUGGAAAAGAAACUCAACAAACCUAAACGAGAGAUGGAGUUAUUUGGACCUGAAGUAGUGGUUAGCAAAUAUUGUGAAUAUACAGGCGACGAAGAAGAAGAUUACUUAUGGUGGUUAGAUCUUCCCUAUGUACUGGUAUAUAUGUAUGUUUUUUUUUGUUUCCACCAUUUCACUUUCAAACAUGAAGUUUAAGGUCUGUUGGACUGUCUUAUUGAAGGCUUAUUUUUUGACAUAAACACUGAUGUUGAAUCAAUUUCUUUAUUUGCUGUAAGUGCACCGAGGUAUAUAUAGUUGACAAGGAAUCAUUUACUCAAUAGUUUCAUUGUUUUGUAAUUUAUAAUGUUAUUAAUGAUUUUAUUAUUUUCUUGAUAAAAAGGUUAAAGCGAAAAUGAAAGUAAUUUGGAAGGGUUGGCUGAAACCUGAAACUAUCAUCAAUGAAAAUGGUUAAAGCAAAUUAUGGCUUGCCUGCAUUGUAGAAUAAGUUAAUUUCUUUAUGUAGUUUUUUUUUCUUUACACAAAUUAGAGUUGUUUGUAUAUGAUUGAGUAAAAUAUAGUCAAAUUAUAAUAGUUGCUGAUGAUAACUUGAUGGCAUAGUGAGAAUUUUUUCAUCAAGAAUGUUCUUUAGUAGAAGAGAUUAGUAAUUAAAAUGAGUUAUUCUUUAGUCAUAUACUGAGUGUCACUUUAUUAAGAAAAGUUGUAAAUGAAAGAGUAUAAUAAUUUCCUAAAUAAAAAAAAAAAAAGAAUGAGCCUAACAAUUUUAUAAAAUUAU